rnacentral:misc_RNA from 1 species
GAUGAAGAACGUAGCGAAAUGCGUUAAGUAAUGUGAAUUGCAGAAUUCAGUGAAUCAUCGAAUCUUUGAACGCACAUUGCGCCCCCUGGAAUUCCGGGGGGCAUGCCUGUUCGAGCGUCUCAGGGACGAACCCUCGCGCGGGUGUACGCGCGGUCGUGGCUGCGGUGGCGUGCCCGAGGCGGCGGCCACCGGGCUGGAAUCCAUGGGCGGACGCCUGCCGCGUGGCCGAGCGUGAUAUGACGCAUUGGCGCUCGCACGCGGCGAGGCUGCCAGCCCUGGCCCGUCUGUCGGGCGGGGGAGAGCAAGACACGUGAACUCCUCGAAUCAGGUAGGGAUACCCGCUGAACUUAAGCAUAUCAAUAAGCGGAGGA